UGGGGAAUAUUGCACAAUGGGGGAAACCCUGAUGCAGCGACGCCGCGUGAGUGAAGAAGUAUUUCGGUAUGUAAAGCUCUAUCAGCAGGGACGAAUAAAUGACGGUACCUGACUAAGAAGCCCCGGCUAACUACGUGCCAGCAGCCGCGGUAAUACGUAGGGGGCAAGCGUUGUCCGGAUUUACUGGGUGUAAAGGGAGCGUAGACGGUGAUGUAAGUCAGAUGUGAAAGCCCAGGGCUCAACCCUGGGACUGCAUUUGAAACUAUGUUACUAGAGUGCAGGAGAGGUAAGUGGAAUUCCUAGUGUAGCGGUGAAAUGCGUAGAUAUUAGGAGGAACACCAGUGGCGAAGGCGGCUUACUGGACUGUAACUGACGUUGAGGCUCGAAAGCGUGGGGAGCAAACAGG
rnacentral:rRNA from 1 species